rnacentral:rRNA from 1 species
UACAGAGGUCUCAAGCGUUGUUCGGAUUUAUUGGGCGUAAAGAGCGUGUAGGCGGUCAGGUAGGUCCGUUGUGAAAACUCGAGGCUCAACCUCGAGACGCCGAUGGAAACCAUCUGACUAGAGUCCGGAAGAGGAGAGUGGAAUUCCUGGUGUAGCGGUGAAAUGCGCAGAUAUCAGGAAGAACACCCGUGGCUAAGGCGGCUCUCUAGUACGGUACUGACGCUGAGACGCGAAAGCGUGGGGAGCGAACAGG